rfam:Oryza sativa (indica cultivar-group) chromosome 6, whole genome shotgun sequence.
AAUAGAUGACGCCGUUGACUUUUUCUCACAUGUUUGACCAUUCGUCUUAUUCAAAAAAUUUACGUAAUUAUAAUUUAUUUUAUUAUGAGUUGUUUUAUCCUCAUAGUACUUUAAGUGUGAUUUAUAUCUUAUAUAUUUGCAUAAAGUUUUUAAAUAAGACGAAUGGUCAAACAUGUGAGAAAAAAUCAACGGUGUCAUCUAUU